rnacentral:tRNA from 1 species
GGUGGCUCAGUGGUAGGGCGCUUGCAUUGUAUGCAUGAGGCCCUGGGUUCGAUUCCUUAGCACCA